rnacentral:rRNA from 1 species
AGUGAACGCUGGCGGUAGGCCUAACACAUGCAAGUCGAACGGCAGCACAGUAAGAUCUUGCUCUUACGGGUGGCGAGUGGCGGACGGGUGAGAAAUACAUCGGAAUCUUCUUUUUCGUGGGGGAUAACGUAGAGACACUUACGCUAAUACCGCAUAUGACCUACGGGUGAAAGCAGUAGAUCUUCGGGCCUUUCGCGAUUGAAUGAGCCGAUGUCGGAUUAGCUAGUUGGCGGGGUAAAGGCCCACCAAGGCGACGAUCCGUAGCUGGUCUGAGAGGAUGAUCAGCCACACUGGAACUGAGACACGGUCCAGACUCCUACGGGAGGCAGCAGUGGGGAAUAUUGGACAAUGGGCGCAAGCCUGAUCCAGCCAUACCGCGUGGGUGAAGAAGGCCUUCGGGUUGUAAAGCCCUUUUGUUGGGAAAGAAAAGCAGCAGGUUAAUACCCCGCUGUUCUGACGGUACCCAAAGAAUAAGCACCGGCUAACUUCGUG